CUUUGCAUCAAAUAUAAUGCAUAAAAUUAGAAAAUGAUUUUAUACAUUCACAUAUGAUGCAUAUACUAAAAAAAAUGAAAUUAUUGUGAUUUUGAACGUUUUGUUCAGAUUCUUUUGUUUUUUUAUCUUAUUAUAGUCAGCUGAUUGAUUAUGUGUGAAGUAUUUUGUUUUUAUAUUUAUACGUCACAUGUAUCAAAAUCAUUUAGUGUUAAAUUAAGAUAACAUAU